rnacentral:rRNA from 1 species
ACGAACGCUGGCGGCAUGCCUAACACAUGCAAGUCGAACGAGACCUUCGGGUCUAGUGGCGCACGGGUGCGUAACGCGUGGGAACCUGCCCUUAGGUUCGGAAUAACUCCCCGAAAGGGGUGCUAAUACCGGAUAAUGUCUUCGGACCAAAGAUUUAUCGCCUUUGGAUGGGCCCGCGUUGGAUUAGCUAGUUGGUAGGGUAAAAGCCUACCAAGGCGACGAUCCAUAGCUGGUCUCAGAGGAUGAUCAGCCACACUGGGACUGAGACACGGCCCAGACUCCUACGGGAGGCAGCAGUGGGGAAUAUUGGACAAUGGGCGAAAGCCUGAUCCAGCAAUGCCGCGUGAGUGAUGAAGGCCUUAGGGUUGUAAAGCUCUUUUACCCGGGAUGAUAAUGACAGUACCGGGAGAAUAAGCUCCGGCUAACUCCGU